UUGCGAACCCAUAAUCCCUAGUUGUUUCUCUAUUCUAUUGUAUAUAGUUGGACAAACGAAUUAAUCGAAGGAUUGAUUAGGUAGAUGAAUUGAUUGAAUAGAAAAUGUAGGAAGAAGACAGGGAAGAAAACAGGUAGCGUGUUGACCUUGUGGAUCAGUGGAGGAGAUGGAUAAGUAUUAAGAUGUUGUGAUAGACUAGUAAAGAUGGGUUAGUAUCUAAUUCGGAUAUGGAGUGGAGAUUACUUCAGAUUUGGAUAGAGUAUCAUCAGAAAAUCAACUAAAAACUCAUGUUUCAUGCCAUGAAAACAACCACCAAGUGAUGUUUUUGUUGUCGACUGCGUGAUGAUUGAUUAUGAUUUUAGUUCAUUUGUGUCGGCUUACAAUUGAUGGGUAGUUAUUGGAUUCGAAUUUUCAGGUAAGAAGAGGCUAUAAAUUGAGGCGCAAGCACCAACAGUUGGCACCUCUUCAUCACCAGGAACACGGCCGUAAGUCCACCAACUAUGGUGAUUCAGCAGUCCACCAAGUAACCAUCACCGGGACAUAAAACGAUGAGCUCACACUCACUGCAAACAACCCCACAAAAUCAAUUACUCAUAACAGUGAGAUUGUUUUUUUUUUUCAUAGAUUGGGGAUGCUCUUAAAGUGAAUGAGAAGUGAUAUUGUUGUGGAUAAUGAGAUGAAUAGAAAAAAUUAAAAGUUUGUGUAGGUUUAUAAUCGAUGGGUAGUUAUCAGAUUCCAGUUUGCAGGUAAGAAGAAGCUAUAAAUUGAGGUGCAAACCCCAACCGUUACACCUCUUCAUCACCAGAAACUAGCUCGGAAGAUAGUCGACAAAAUUCCCAAACCAGUUCUCUCUGUUUACCAACUUCUACUCCAACCUUCUGCAGCGUGUAGUACCAGUAACUCUUAGCAAGUAACAAGACUUGAACCUGUUUGCAUCAGAAGCUUGGGAUUGAAAGGUUUAGUGGUGCAAUAUGUUAGGAUUUUAUUAAAAAACAUUAUGGAAGAAAGAUGCAUAUGAGUUUGAUUUAGCUUCUGACUCGCAACUUAAUUUAGUAACGACACAAAACUGACUCAGUAUCCCAACUAGGUCCUGGUUCUAGACGAUUGAUCAGGGGUUAAAAUGUCUUUUCCAGUAGCAAAAUGACUGCCACCUAAGUACUAACGGCAGUUAGCCGUUUUUUCAAAAAAACGGAACGGAAAAAGUCAAUUCAUGGGAAUUAAAUAUCGGUUCGCGAGUUAUAACCCCAAAGGUGUUACUAUCCAUCCACAAAAAAUCCGCAGAAAAAAAGAGAUUCACAAAAACCUCAAAAAACAAAAUUUUGAUGAAACCUCAUAGAAUUUGACGAAAUCAAAUUUGAAAUUUGGGAUUUUUGUGUCAAUUUUUUAAAAUUUGGGGUUUUUGUAUCAAUUUAGUUUAGGAUGAGUUUUAAUGAAUUCCAACAUUUGAGUGAGGUUUUUGUACCACAAGUUUGGUCACCUUGGAUUUUUAUGACAAGUUUUGAUUAAA